GACGAACGCUGGCGGCGUGCUUAACACAUGCAAGUCGAACGAGAGCGUAGAGAAAGCUUGCUUUUUCUACAAUCUAGUGGCAAACGGGUGAGUAACGCGUAAACAACCUGCCCUACGGAUGGGGACAACAGCUGGAAACGGCUGCUAAUACCGAAUACGUUCCGAAAGUCGCAUGACUAUCGGAAGAAAGGAUGGCCUCUAUUUAUAAGCUAUCGCCGGAGGAGGGGUUUGCGUCUGAUUAGCUAGUUGGAGGGGUAACGGCCCACCAAGGCGACGAUCAGUAGCCGGUCUGAGAGGAUGAACGGCCACAUUGGAACUGAGACACGGUCCAGACUCCUACGGGAGGCAGCAGUGGGGAAUCUUCCGCAAUGGGCGAAAGCCUGACGGAGCAACGCCGCGUGAGUGAAGACGGCCUUCGGGUUGUAAAGCUCUGUUAUACGGGACGAAUAUCUUGUGGUUAAUACCCAUGAGAAGUGACGGUACCGUAAGAGAAAGCCACGGCUAACUACGUG
rnacentral:rRNA from 1 species